AGCCAGAGACGCAGGAACAUACAGAGUUCUGGAGCCUUCAGCAGAACCCUUGAUCACAGUGACAGUCAGAGAAUCAAAGGAGAAACUGCACGACACUGAUAAAGACCAAACUGAUGACACUAAAUAUCACACUGUAGGCUACUGGAUUGCACUGACUGUGGUUUUGGUUCUGCUGGCUCUGAUUCUGACUGCUGUCACGUUACACAAGCGUCUGCUCAGAGGUUAACUGCGUGUGUCUCUCGAGGAGGAAAAGAGAGACUGAGCACAGGAGACCCAGAAGCACUGAGGGCCCAUAAUGAUGUCUGCUGAGGGCCCCACAGACUCUGAUGAAACUGUAGAGGUGUGCAGGACAUUAGUGACGUCACUGCUUAAGACUGGAACUCACCUCACGACUUUUCCUUAAUCAGUCUUAAAUCAUGCUUUUUACAGUCAUUUUAUGGUUUAGUAUGUUAC